UACGAAGGUGGCAAGCGUUGUUCGGAUUUACUGGGCGUACAGGGAGCGUAGGCGGUUGGAUAAGCCCUCCGUGAAAUCUCCGGGCUUAACCCGGAAAGGUCAACUGAUACUGCAGGGCUAGAGUGCAGAAGGGGCAACUGGAAUUCUCGGUGUAGCGGUGAAAUGCGUAGAGAUGUGGAGGAACACCGAUGGCGAAGGCAGCCCCCUGGGUCAAGAUUGACGCUCAUGCACGAAAGCGUGGGGAGCAAACAGG
rnacentral:rRNA from 1 species